ensembl:lncRNA
GUAGAGCUUUUGCUAGCUACUCCGGAGGCCGUAGCGCCCUUGGCAUCCGUGAGUGCUCGGCUCCUGAAUGGAGCCGACAGCGUCUUUUCACGCACGCAUGCACACUUAGGGAAUGUCUGCUGUAUGCUUUUUUGGGUCACUCACCCUGGAAGGCAGGAGUUGUCCCUCACUACUGAGGAAACUGGGGCUCAGUGUGGGAAGGCUGGGCCAAGGUUAUGCCACCUCUGGAAAUGUGAGCACCGAGUUUCGCGCCUCCUCUUACUGGCUCCUGUGUAUAAUGCUCUCUUUCCAGUGGAUUCCCUAGCUUUGCCCUUCAUCAGCCUUUUGUGCCCCAGCAGUCUCUGGCCUGUUCCCACGUUUGUCCUUCUGCCUGGAGUUCAGUCCCCAGCACAAGCCCUGGCACAUAACAGGCACUCUUAUUCCUGCCCUAGGGCAUCUUGUCUCCAGCUCUUAUAACAACAUCUUUUGCCCUGGACUGUCAUGGUCUGCCACCAAGCGCAACUUACGAGCCUUAGGAAGACUGUUACCUUGGGCUUGGCAUCAAAUGUAAUCACACAGCCUGACUCACAUCAAGUGACCUGACUAGCUAGCUUUGUGACUUUGGAGGCUUGCUUGUUCUAUCUGUGGAAUGAGGAUAAAAAUCAAACUCCUUAGAGAUGAGCGUUUAAUGAGCCCUUAGAGCAUUCUAAGUGCUCAGGAAGUCUGCCGGCAGCUGCUUCCUAUAACCUCCUGCUGUCAAGUUGCUGUCCCUGAGGCCAGCUCUAACACUCACUUUUCUGGAAACACCAUGAAGCAUAUUUUUCCCACAGAAGGCACUCGACUUCUUCCUCUGCCUGGGGCACUGUAACUGGUUCAGGAAGGGAGAUUCUCGGCUACUCUGAAAGUGGGAUCUUCCCAACCUGGGGAUUGAACCCAGGUCUCCGGCAUUGCAGGCAGAUUCUUUACCAGCUGAGCCACAAGGGAAGCUACUCUCAAGAAGGUUCAGGUCCAUAAACUUGACAGAGGGAAGAAGAUUGAGAGAACUUGAAGACACCACAGUUAAGAUAGCCUCCACCAAGACAGCAGGUCUUCUGGGAGAGCUGGCAGUAUCCUGAGACUUGAUGCCAGGCUGGGUAUAGGG